rnacentral:tRNA from 1 species
CCUGGUGGCUCAGAGGUUAAAGUGUCUGCCUCCAAUGCAGGAGACCCAGGUUCGAUCCCUGGGUCAGGA